rnacentral:rRNA from 1 species
UACAGAGGUCUCAAGCGUUGUUCGGAUUCAUUGGGCGUAAAGGGUGCGUAGGCGGUGCGGUAAGUCGGGUGUGAAAUCUUGGAGCUUAACUCCGAAACUGCAUUCGAUACUGCCGUGCUUGAGGACUGGAGAGGAGACUGGAAUUUACGGUGUAGCGGUGAAAUGCGUAGAUAUCGUAAGGAAGACCAGUGGCGAAGGCGGGUCUCUGGACAGUUCCUGACGCUGAGGCACGAAGGUCAGGGGAGCAAACGGG